rnacentral:lncRNA from 1 species
CCGAUAAAAUUAUGAUUGCAUUACUAUAUAGGAUUCAUUAUAAUCUUAAAAAAAUAAUAAUAAGAUGCAGCAUAUAAAAAAAUAUCUAUUUUAUUAAAUAUCAAUGUCAAUUAUAUGAGUUUGAAAGAUAAAUUACAGAAAACAUCCGAUCGCAUCCCAUAUGCAAUUGACUUGUAGGGCAUUAUUCUUUCAAUCUCUCACUUGCACUAAAGCUAAUUGCCUUUAUACUUGAUGCCCAUGCAAUU